ACAAAGACAUUUCUUGGGGUAUAAUUUCAGGUAUGCUCUGCUCAAUGGGUUUAAAUGGCCGCGGUAUUUGGACCGUGCUAAGGUAGCAUAAUAAUUUUCUUUUUAAUUGGGAGAUAGGAUGAAAGAGUGAACAAAGAGAUUUUGUGCCAUUUUUACUGUGAUAAUUUUAUUAAGAAGUAAGAAAGCUUCUAAGUUUUAGAAAGACGAUAAGACCCUAUAAAACUUGACUAAUAGAAGCUGUUAGAUGUUUAAGUUUUAAAGUUUUGAAAUUAGUUUAGCUGGGGCGGCUUGUUUUGGUAGACAAAAUAUUUAAUAACAUGUUUAAUGGGGUUAAUGAGCGCAGAUGCGCAAUUAAGAUUAAGUUACUUUAGGGAUAACAGAAUAAUAUUUCUGGAGAGUUCUUAUCGGAUAGAAGUGUUUGUUACCUCGAUGUUGAAUUGAGUUGUCUACUGGAGCAGUUUUCAGGGUAGAGGCGUCGACCUUAAUAACC
rnacentral:rRNA from 1 species